rnacentral:sRNA from 1 species
UGUCAGAAGCUCGUCCGGGAGCCAGCUGGCCCAGGUGUCUGCUGGUGGCCUGCCGCUUUCCAGGCAUGGAGGGGACUUAACCCCAUGGGUCCAUGUUGCUGCCUGGGGAGGCCAUUAACUGUUUGAUGCGAGCAAUCGAGAUCUACACAGACAUGGGCCGAUUCACGAUUGCGGCCAAGCACCACAUCUCCAUUGCUGAGAUCUAUGAGACGGAGUUGGUGGACAUUGAGAAGGCCAUCGCCCACUACGAGCAGUCCGCAGACUACUACAAAGGCGAAGAGUCCAACAGGUAGCCCCCUUCCUGCCUGCCCCAGCCCCGCAGGGACCGCCACCACUUCCCCUCACUACUCCUCCCCACACAGCUCAGCCAACAAGUGUCUGCUGAAGGUGGCUGGCUACGCCGCGCUGCUGGAG